CAAUUCUCCUGCCUCAACCUCCCCAGGAGCUGGGACAACAGGCAUGUGCGACCACGCCCAGAAACAGCAGCUGUGAAGCCUGCAAAUUUGAAAAAAGGAAAAGAAGUUGCAAAAGAACACAACUUAAAAGUGAUUUCAGAGGAAAAGCAAGAAAGACUUGAAAGAAGUGAAAAUAAACAGCCACAGGCUCCAGUUGUGGUGGGUUGUGUCACCCCACGAUGUCACUGUUGCUGAGCCCCCACUGCCUCUGUGUUGUGGAGCAGUUAGAGACACACAGCAGUAUCCGUGAGUGGCUCUGCGUGAAGGACUGUUUUCUAGGUGAAAGGCACAUCUCAGCACAGCUGACUGAUCAUACUCAGCAAUUCCAUUCUGCAUCUCCUCUGGACACCCCUAGGACCACCAGGACAACCCCAUCAGGGCCCUAUCACCAGGCCCAGUCUGGCUCCAUGAUAGCCAAGAAGCAGAUCCAGCCCUGCAUGGUGGCUGCAUCUGACUCCCUUUGAUGGGUAGUGAUGAGCAAACAUGGAAGAAGUCAGGGCAGCAUGCGGCCAGCUGCCCUGCAGCCCCAGAUGGCACCUGGGCCUUGGGAAGUCGUUCUCAAAGGGGAAGCUGGUCACUUUGAUGUCCCUGGAGGGAAAGGUGAACGUGGCAUCCCGACAACCCUGGCAGCCAGCAGCAUACCAUACAUCUUCUCACCCAACCUGUGGGACAGAGGCCCAAUAAGAUCCAUACCUAAAGGGUCCUAGCCCAGUCGGGCCUCAUCUUGCGCCCUGGGAGGCGAAGGGCACCAUGGGCCCCCAGCAGCAACCAGGAUAACCACCCAGGGGACCCAGCCUUCUAUGGCCCUGGCCAGACUUAGAAUUUGGCCCAAGACAGGACAAGCUCACUCAGAGCAGCCUGUCAGUACCCAGGGCCUGUGCAUGCCAGGCAAGGCCAAGCUGGGUCAAAGAAAAACCAGCCACCUUUGCAAGGGUAUGCCUGGAGCAGGUGGACCAGCCACCAACCUCACCCCCUUAAGGAAGCAGGGGUGGCCAGGUUCCCACAGCCUGAGUAGCUGCCACCUGAUAGCUGAUGGAGCGGAGGCCUGAGGAAAAGCAGAUGGCACUGGGGCCCUACCUCCAGGGAGGAAUAACUGAUUUACCCUGACUGGCAGCGAGUGAAGUUGGUGGCUGAUCCACCUGCUCCUGGCACACCCUUGCAGAGGUGGCUGGUUGCUCUUUGAGCCAGCUUGGCCUUGCCUGGCAUGCACAGGCCUCAGUGCAACAACUAUGCUACAAAUGGAGCCACAUAGAGAAAAUGAGCAGCAGGCUCAGGAGCAGGGUGUGCGCUGCCUUUGGGGCUCCGGUCCAUGCAUCAGGGCUCCUACAGCACUGUGGGCUUCUUUGGUGCCAAGAGGCAGACCACAAGCCAUCUUGAGGAGGACUCUAUGCUCAAGUACAGAAAGGGCCCAGUCUGGUGGGUGAACCACACAGCCAGCUUCUGGGUGCGGGCACAGUGCCACAUCUUCCAUCACUUCCUGAUGUGCCCCACCAGCGCUGAAGAGACAGCCUGGAGACAGGGCAAGAGGAAGGCUGAGAAGGAUGAGAUGGUGAAUUCCAGGUUCUUCCCGACCCUAAGCCCACCUCCAAGGUGGCCCUCAACCUUUAGAAGUGAGAGAGCAAGAUUGAUGGCUUUUGAGUGCUUUACCAAGAAGAUGGACAACAGAGCACUCUGUUCAACUUCACAGUCAAUGAGUUGACAUGCAAGCAGGUGAUGGUGAUGGGCUUUAAGAAAGAGCAUCAGAAGGUGGCCAGUUCUUCAGCCUCGGCCAGGUCUUGGAGCUGGAGCAGGCCAUCACUUCACAGAGAUGCCUUCAACACUGAUUGGCUCUUUGCCAAUCAGCCCAGGCAGGACCUGGACCCAGUCAUGGACCUGUUAGUGCUGUCUCAGGGACACCAGACCAAAAUCCUGGACUUUAUCCGUAUACACAAGGAAGCUCUUACCAAAGUCAUGCAGAGCAGGCAACACGUGGCAGAAGGGAAGACAGAGGUGCAGAGGCUGAUGACGCCAGAAUCACAGGAACAGGAUUUCUUUGGCCUCUUUGGCUGAAAUUCACUGCUUCCAUCCAGUUCAAAUGAGAGACAUGGACUCGCAGAUGCAGUAUUUCUUGCAACAAGAGAUACUAGUUUUUCAAAAAGUCACCCAGGAAUUGAUAGUAUUGAAUGACUAGAUACUCCUUUGUGGACUGUUUCCAGUUCAAGGAUAGUUUCUACAGCAGAAUAAUAACACUAGCAAAGAGCUAGUGCCAGCUAUUGGUGGUAGGACAAAGAUGGUUUUGUUCUCAGCGGAAACUCAGCUGAAUACUGAAUUGUGUAGGAAACAGUUAAUAUGGUGGUAGAAUAGAAAGAGCAGCAAACAUGAACUAAAUCAGCCUAUGAAUGCCUACACUACCAUUGUAACUUUUGGAAGAAUGAUACCACUUAUUUUAUUGCUUUUGAAGUGUGAAUAUUUUAGUUUAUAUGCUGUGGACCUCAAGCCCUGUGAAGAGUCUCAAAGAAGUUGGCUGGAUAAAGCCUGCUGUGGAUGUCUUUAUAUUCAAAGAUUGAUGAUGCAAUUCAAGUGUGUGUCCCCACCAAAUCUUUUGUUGAAUUAUAUUUCCUAAUGUGGAAGGUGGAUCCUGGUCUAAGGUGAUUGAAUCCUGAAGGCAAAGUUCUCAUUAAUGGUUUAGCAGCAUCCCCUUGCUACUGUCCUCACAAUUAUGAGUGACUUCUCAUGAGACCUGUUCAUUGAAAACUCUGUGUCAUGUCCCUACCCUGUGUGUUUUCCUCUUGCCGUGUGAGACAACUCACUGUUUUCUUUGCACGAAGAUUGAAAGGUUUCUGAGGCCUCCCAGAAGCAGAAGCCACUGUGCUUCCUGUCCACCCUGCAGAACCAUGAGCUAAUUAAACCUCUUUUUCAAAAUAAAUCAUACAGAAAAUAGCAAAUGAGGAUUGGAGCAUUGCUAUAAAGAUACCUAAAAAUGUGGAAGCAGUUUUGGAACUAGGCAAUGGACAGAGGUUGGAAGAGUUUGGAGGCUCAAAAGAAGACAGAUAGAUGAGAAAAUGUUUGGACCAUCUUAGAGACUGGUUAAAUGGUUGUGACAAAAAUCCUGACAGAAACAUGGACAGUGAAGGCCAGGCUGAGGAGGCUUCAGAUAGAAAUAAGAAGCUUUCUGGAAAAUGUCUUCCUUUUAGAUAUGGAAAGCUUACACAAUGCCUGUACCAUCAUUGUACCUUAGAAGCAGUGAACUUGCUUUUUAUUUCAGAGGCUCAUAGGUAAAAGAGGCUGUAGCCUUGACUCAGAUGAGACUUUGGACUUUGUAAGUUUGAGUGAAUGCUGAAAUGAGUUAAUGCUUAAAUGAGUUAAGACUCAUGCUGGCAAGGCAUGAUUGUAUUUUACAAUGUGAAAAGGACACGACAUUUGUAGGGUCAGGGACAGAAUAAUAUGGUUUGUCUCUGUGUCCCUACCAAAACCCAUGUGGAAUUAUACUCCCUAAUGUUAGAGGCAGGGCCUAGGUGGAAAAAGAUUUAGUCAUAAAAUGGUGCGGGUAGAUCCUUCAUAAAUGAUAAAGGACCAUCCCCUUGAUGCUGUCCUCUUGACAGUGAGUGAGUUCUCAUGUGAUCUGGCUGUUUAACAGGCUGUGGAACCUCUUCCCUCACUCUGUCUUGCUCCUACUCCUGCCAUGGGAGGCAGCUCAUUGUCCCUUGGCCUUCUGGUAUAAUUAGGAGGCUCCCUGACUCCUCCCUGAAACAAAAGACACUAUGCUUCCUUCACAGCCUGCAGAAUCCCGAGUCAGUUAAACCUCUUUUAUUUAUGAUAAUACAGAAAAUUAGAACCGCAGAGAUAAGCUGUGAAAUGUCUUCAAGGCCUUUUUCCAUUUGUCUUGGCUAUUAGCACAGGACUUCUUUAUAUGCAAAUUUCUGAAGUCUUCUUGAAUGUUCACCCUUAAAUCGGGUUUUGUGUUAUUGCUACACAGCCCACCUGCUAUAGAGAUACCUGAAAAAGUAGAAGCAGGUUGAAAGUGGGUAGCAAACAGAGAUUGGGAUGGUUUGGAGGGAUUAGAGAAUGACAGAAGGAUGAGGGCCUGGUGGGAGUGAUUUAAUCAUGGAUGGAAGGUGGGUAGGGGUGGAAGGAAAAAGAGGUGGGUAGGGUGGAGAGGAGUAGGCUGACUGUAGGGUGGUGGAAGGGUGGGGUGUAGUGUGAGUGGGGAGUUGCCUGCUUCCGAGGCACAGCCUCAUGGAAAACUGCUAGGGCAGUGCACCUGUGACUUUGCAGGUUUUAGUCCCCACAGUUGCUCUCAUGGACUGGGCUAGUGUUGAGUGCCUGUAGCUUUUCCAUAGUGAAGGGUGCAAGCUGUUGUUGGGUCUAUGAAUCUGGCUCUGCCUGUGCAGCAGGCUUCUGCCUGGAAACUGGGUGGUGGAAGUGAGGUUGGUGGGGUGGAUCCUUCACCAGUGGUUAAGCACCAUCUUCUUAAUGCUGACCUUUGAUACUGAGUUCUCAUGGAUCUUGUUGUAUAACAGGGUAUGGGACCUCUUUCCUCUCUCAGUCUUGCUCCUACUCCUGCCAUAUGAAGCACCUAUGUGCCCCUUGGCCUUCUGGUAUGAUUGGGAGGCUUCCUGAGUCCUCCUCGAAACAGAAGCCACUAUGCUUCCUUUACAGCCUGCAGAACAGUGAGCCAAGUAAACCUCUCUUCUUUAUGAUUAUAUACAAAAUUAGUGCUGUGAAGUGGAGCUAUGAAAUGCCUUCAAGGCCUUUUCCCCAUUGUCCUGGCAACCAGCACUCAGCUUCUUUUCAUGAAAAUAUCUGAAGCCUUCAUGAAUUUUACCCUGAAAAUGGACUUGUCUUCUUUUACACAUUACCAGGCUGUGACAAAGAUAGCUGAGAAUGUAGACGCAGGUUCAGAAGUGGGUAAAAGACAGAAGUCGGGAAAGUUGGGAACACUUAGAAGUCAGCAAGAUGAGGAAAAGUUUGGACCACUGAAAAGAAUUGUUAAAUACUUGUGAUGAGAAGGUUGACAGAAGGAUGGACAGUGAAGGCCGGACUUAAAAGGUCUCAGAUGAAAAUGAGGAAUUUCCUGUGAACAGGAGCCAAGGUUACAUUUGAUUGGCCUUAGCAAAGAAUGUGGCUGCACCGUGACCCUGCCCUGGAGAUCUGUGAAACUAUGAAUUUGGGGGUGAUCAUUUAGGAUGUAUCUGGUGGAACGAACAUCUAGGCAGCACAGCUCAAGAGCUGUCCUGUCUGUGUCAAACAGCCUGUGUUCUUGUUUGCAACCUAAGAAAUGACCUCAAGUUGCAACUUCUAUUUAAAUGAGAAGCAGAGCUCAAAAAUUUUAAAAAUUUGCAGCCUAGCCAAAUGGUCAAAAAUAAAGCUGAUUUUCAGGAGGAAAAUUAGGGAACACUUAGAGUAUUUGCAUUAAAAAAAGCCCAGUGCAAAUAGCCAAGACAAUGGGGAAAAGGCCUUGAUGGCAUUUCAGAGACUUUUGCAGCAGCCCUUGCUGUCACAGGCCCUGGGGCGGAGGAGAGAAGAAUGAUUUUCUGGGCCAGCUCCAUGGCCUCACUGCUGCGGGCAUCAUGAGGACACUGCUGCCUGCAUCCCUGCAGCUCCAGCUCCAGCCAUGGCUGAAAGAUACACCGGUACAGCUUGGGUCACUGCUUCAGAGUUGGCUCCAAGCCUUGAUGGCUUCCACAUAGUAGUGCACAGAGCAAGAGACUAGAGGCUUAAGAGCCUGCGUCUAGACUCCAGAGGAUGUACUGAAAAGCCUGGGUGUCCAGGCAGAAACCUUUCCAAGAGGCAGAGCCUCAUGGGAAAUCUUUACUAGGGCAGCAAAGAAGGGACGUAUUGGGUUGAAGCCUUCACACAGGGAGGCACCAUCCUCCAAACCCCAGAUUCAUAAACUCACCAACAGCUUGCCCCCUCAGUGUGGAAAAGCUACAGACACUCAACACCAGCCGUGUCCAUGAGGGCAGCCGCAGGGGCUGAUCACUGCAAACCCACAGGUGGAGAUCUGCCCAAAGCCUUGGGAGCCCAGCCCUCACACCCCUCUGCCGUGGAUGUGGGGCAAGGAUUCCAAAAGGAUGAUUUUGGAGCUGUAGGAUUGAAUGGCCUGUUGGGUUUUGGACGUUCAUGUAUCCUGUGAGUCCCACUGGUGUUUGCUUUUCGUUCUGGCAUUUUUAUUCUAUUGGCUGGGAAUGCUUACCCAUUGCCUGUACAAUCAUUGUACAUUGGAAGCAGUUAACUUGCUUUAUAACUCAGACGCUCAUGGGCAGAAGGGACUGUAUGCUGGUCUCAGAUGAAACUUUGGGCAUUGGACAUUUGCUGGAGUGAGUUAAGAUUUGGGGAACUGUAGAGAAGGCAUCAUUGUAUUUUGCAAUGUGAGAAAGACAUGAGAUUUGCAGGGGCAGGGACAGAAUAAUAUGAUUUGGUUCUGUGUCCCUACCAAAACUCAUGUGGAAUUGUAAUGGGAAAUGUUAAAGGUGGGGGCUGGUGGAAGGUGAUUUAAUCAUGGUGGAGAGUGGAGGUUGGAAGGAGGGAUGAUGGGGUAAAUUAGGAGGAAUUAUGGUGGGGUUGGGAGUGAAAGGCAGGGGUGGGGGGCAGAUCCUUCACAAAUGGUUAAUGCUGUCCUUCUGAUAGUUCUCUUCAUGAUUUUUUAGCUGUGAGAUUGAAUGAAUACUGGUCUGCCAGGUUUUGGAUGUGCAUUGGGCCUGUGGUCCCAUUUGUGUUAGUUUUCUGGGAAAUUUCUUCCCUUUGGAUUGAGAAAUCUUACCCAAUAACUGUACCAUCAUUGUACCUUGAAAGAAAAGCACUCCAUUUUAACUUCAGGGACUCAUAGGCAAAAGAGACUGUAACCUUGUAUCAAAUGAGACUUUGAACUUUUUAUAUUUGAGUUAAUGCUGGAAUGAGUUAAGGCU